rnacentral:rRNA from 1 species
AACGUAGGUGGCGAGCGUUAUCCGGAAUACUGGCGUAAGGCGUGAUGCAGGCGGGCUAGCAAGAUGGUGUAUGAAAGCUCCCGGCUCAACCGGGAAGGGUUAUGCCAGACUGCUAGUCUUGAGUGCGAGAGAGGAGCGUGGAAUUCCGGGUGUAGUGGUGAAAUGCGUAGAGAUCCGGAGGAACACCCAGGGGGAAACCAGCCGACUGGGCAUCUGCUGACGCUGAGGUGCGAGAGCGUGGGGAGCGAACCGG